ACGAAGGUCCCAAGCGUUGUUCGGAAUCACUGGGCGUAAAGGGAGCGUAGGCGGCGUGGUAAGUCAGAUGUGAAAUCCCGGGGCUCAACCCCGGAACUGCAUCCGAUACUGCCGUGCUUGAGGGUUGGAGAGGUAGCUGGAAUUCUCGGUGUAGCAGUGAAAUGCGUGGAUAUCGAGAGGAACACUCGUGGCGAAGGCGAGCUACUGGACAACAUCUGACGCUGAGGCUCGAAGGCUAGGGGAGCAAAAGGGAUUAGAUACCCCUGUAGUCCUAGCAGUAAACGGUGUGCGCUUGGUGUGAGGGGAUUCGACCCCCCUUGUGCCGGAGCUAACGCGUUAAGCGCACCGCCUGGGAAGUACGGCCGCAAGGCUA
rnacentral:rRNA from 1 species